UCUGUUACAUCAGAUGUUGUAGGUGUGC
rnacentral:sRNA from 1 species